UACAGAGGUCCCAAGCGUUGUUCGGAUUCACUGGGCGUAAAGGGUGCGUAGGUGGCCGGUUAAGUCUGACGUGAAAUCUCCGAGCCUAACUCGGAAACUGCAUCGGAAACUAUCCGGCUCGAGGGUGGAGGGGGGACUGGAAUACUUGGUGUAGCAGUGAAAUGCGUAGAUAUCAAGUGGAACACCAGUGGCGAAGGCGAGUCCCUGGACAACUCCUGACACUGAGGCACGAAAGCUAGGGGAGCAAACAGG
rnacentral:rRNA from 1 species